CUUGCACGCAUAUAAUGGAAAUAUGUCUAUGGGUAUCUUAGUUCAAUCGAACGGCAUAAAGCUUGUAACAUACACGUGUGAUUUUGUCGGAUAUCUCUAGAAGAAACGACUCUUAUGUAAUGGUCAAAUCAUACACUAAUCCAGUGUGGAAAACCUUUCAAGAUUAUGAGUCUCUUUCUUCUCUAAACAUCUGAACUGUGAGAGUGAGAGCAAAAUGAAGAAUAAAUAGGAUUUCUUGUUAGGGAGGGGUGGAAUCAAAGGUGGUGCCGGUGGUGGCGGCGGAGCUGUUGAUGGUGGUAUUAAUGAAUUGAAGGUGGAUUUGGGGAUGAUCAUCAAGAACAGAAAAGGAAAAAACAAAGCAGCUGCAGAAGAACAGUAGCCGGAACGAUUGAAGUUACACGAUUGAUAAUAUUUGAUUAUUAUCAGGCAAAGAAGUUUAUGUUGAAUUGUUCUAAGGUUUUAGUCUUUAAUUACAAUCGUAGAGAUUUUGAUCACCCAUGCAUGUGCGGUGGUGUACUCUUAGAUCCAAUGAAUAUGAUAUAAAUUUGAUCUGGUAUUUUCUGAAAA